GACGAACGCUGGCGGCGUGCUUAACACAUGCAAGUCGAACGGAAAGGCCCUGCUUUUUUGGGGUGCUCGAGUGGCGAACGGGUGAGUAACACGUGAGUAACCUGCCCCUGACUUUGGGAUAACUUCAGGCAACUGGGGCUAAUACCGGAUAGGAUCUCUUGCUGCUUGGUGGGGGUUGGAAGGUUUCGGCGGUUGGGGAUGGACUCGCGGCUUAUCGGCUUGUUGGUGGGGUAGUGGCUUACCAUGGCCUUGACGGGUAGCCGGGCUGAGAGGGUGACCGGCCAAACUGGGACUGAGAUACGGCCCAGACUCCUCCGGGAGGCAGGGGAGGGGAAGAUAGCACAAUGGGCGGAAGCCUGAUGCAGCCACGCAGCGUGCGGGAUGACGGCCAUCGGGUUGUAAACCGCUUUCGCCUGUGACGAGGCGUGAGUGACGGUAAUGGGUAAAGAAGCACCGGCUAACUACGUG
rnacentral:rRNA from 1 species